GCUGGAGGGACUACGUCUCUCGGCUGGCUUGGGAACGACUUUGGUUUCCCCUUGAGGAGCUGGGGGAGGUGUGUGUGGAUCGGGAGGUCUGGGCGGCUUUGCUUGGGCUGCUGCCCCUGCGCCCCGGCCCCUGAUAAAGCAGAAGAAAAUGGAUGGAUGG